rnacentral:rRNA from 1 species
UACAGAGGGUGCUAGCGUUGUUCGGAAUCAUUGGGCGUAAAGGGCGCGUAGGCGGUGUGUCAAGUCAGGCGUGAAAGCCCCGGGCUCAACCUGGGAACCGCGCUUGAGACUGGCACGCUCGAGUUCGGGAGAGGAUGGUGGAAUUCCCAGUGUAGAGGUGAAAUUCGUAGAUAUUGGGAAGAACACCGAUGGCGAAGGCAGCCAUCUGGACCGACACUGACGCUGAGGCGCGAAAGCGUGGGGAGCAAACAGG